rnacentral:rRNA from 1 species
GACGAACGCUGGCGGCGUGCUCAACACAUGCAAGUCGAACGGAAAGGCCCUGCUUUUGUGGGGUGCUCGAGUGGCGAACGGGUGAGUAACACGUGAGUAACCUGCCCUUGACUUUGGGAUAACUUCAGGAAACUGGGGCUAAUACCGGAUAGGAGCUCCUGCUGCAUGGUGGGGGUUGGAAAGUUUCGGCGGUUGGGGAUGGACUCGCGGCUUAUCAGCUUGUUGGUGGGGUAGUGGCUUACCAAGGCUUUGACGGGUAGCCGGCCUGCGAGGGUGACCGGCCACAUUGGGACUGAGAUGCGGCCCAGACUCCUACGGGAGGCAGCAGUGGGGAAUAUUGCACAAUGGGCGGAAGCCUGAUGCAGCAACGCCGCGUGCGGGAUGACGGCCUUCGGGUUGUAAACCGCUUUCGCCUGUGACGAAGCGUGAGUGGCGGUAAUGGGUAAAGAAGCACCGGCUAACUACGUG